UCUGAAGUAUGUUGAAGCAUUCAUGUUGGAAAGUCAACUUCUGCUUUCUCAGAAUGGGAGGCCUGGCACUUCUUAGGUGCCCCUCCCCUCCAUCUGUGCGAGCCCCUCUGGACUGCCCAUGCACUGAUACACUGGUCGUCGUGACACUUCCCCCAGACAGUGGCUCUCAAAUGCAUAAUAUCAAUCUCAUUUUGGCUCCUGGUUUACAGGAGGCAGACCUCCUAUUGGCUGUAAGCCUUUCGUGAAAUCCUUUCAGAUUGACUCCAGAAGCUAGUGAAAGCCUGAAAAUCGUUACAGUCAUCCCAUUGUACGCCCUCAGGAUGCUGUGUGGAAGCUUCACUUUCUAGAACCCAUGCAGAUUAGUUAUCUUUGACCACUAAUGGCAGGCCUAGAGGACCUUCUGAUUA
rnacentral:lncRNA from 1 species